GCAUAUCAAUAAUCGGAGGAAAAGAAACCAACAGGGAUUGCCCUAGUAACGGCGAGUGAAGCGGCAACAGCUCAAAUUUGAAAUCUGGCUUCGGCCCGAGUUGUAAUUUGUAGAGGAUGCUUUUGGUGAGGUGCCUUCUGAGUUCCCUGGAACGGGACGCCAGAGAGGGUGAGAGCCCCGUAUAGUCGGCCACCGAUCCUUUGUAAAGCUCCUUCGACGAGUCGAGUAGUUUGGGAAUGCUGCUCAAAAUGGGAGGUAUAUCUCUUCUAAAGCUAAAUAUAGGCCAGAGACCGAUAGCGCACAAGUAGAGUGAUCGAAAGAUGAAAAGCACUUUGAAAAGAGGGUUAAAUAGCACGUGAAAUUGUUGAAAGGGAAGCGCUUGUGACCAGACUUGUGCCGGGCUGAUCAUCCAGUGUUCUCACUGGUGCACUCGACCCGUCUCAGGCCAGCGUCGGUUUUCGUGGGGGGAUAAAAGCUUCGGGAACGUGGCACCUUCGGGUGUGUUAUAGCCCGUUGCUUAAUACCUCCGUGGAGACCGAGGUUCGCGCUCUGCAAGGACGCUGGCAUAAUGGUCAUCAGCCACCCGUCUUGCAACGCGCACCAAGUAGUCGAGGUUUUGGACGAGUGGGGGGGUGUAAAACCCGCACGAGUAAUGAAAGUGAACGGAGGCGAGAGCUUCGGGGCAUCAUCGCCCGAUCCUGACGUUUUGGGAUGGAUCUGAGGAAGAGCGUAAAGCCUGGGACCCGAAAGAUGGUGAACUAUGCCUGCAUAGGGUGAAGCCAGAGGAAACUCUGGUGGAGGCUCGCAGCGGUUCUGACGUGCAAAUCGAUCGUCAAAUUUGGGCAUGGGGGCGAAAGACUAAUCGAACCAUCUAGUAGCUGGUUACCGCCGAU
rnacentral:rRNA from 1 species